AGAAGGAACAACCACGGUGGCGGCGGCAGCUCUGCAGCCCUGGAGUCAGCUCCCGCAGUGACUAUGGAGCUCUCCGUCUGUAGGGGCCUGGAUGCUCUGGGGGCGG
rnacentral:pre_miRNA from 1 species